UUCUCAGUCUUUCUCUCAUUGGCACUGCAUCUGUCUCUAUCUCUGCCUCUGUCUCGGUGUGUUGUGAACAUCUCCCCUUCCCUCUUCUUCUCCCUGUUUCUUUCUCCCUUUCCACUACUUCUCCUUCUCCCUCUUCCUCUCCCCCUUUCAGGCUUGCUGCAGCUUCAGCUUUGGUGGCGCUGAGGGAUCGGACUGCAGAGGUUAAUGAUGGUUCCCCCCACCCCCCAUCCAAGAUGUAUCUGACUGUCAGGAGGGGUGACAGAUGAAGACAAAGUACAGAUAAAGAAACUGAGGCCUUGAAGGAAGAGAUCUGCACAAGUACAGACCGUCUCCCCGGACACAUCACUCCUAGGGCCUUGGAGGGCAGUGCCCUAACUCGGAGUUUCUAUUAAGCCAACUGGCACAGGAGAAGUUGCUGGCCUCCUUCAAGGUCACACAAAUCAAGGAUCUCCGGAUGGGGAAGCCAAAAUACUCGGGCUGAGGACCUGGAAGAAUGGAAGACGGAGCUUGGAGGCUGGGAGACAGAGCUUGGAGGCUGGGAGACAGGAGGCCUUUAAGACUGAGCCGUUGGAGUAUUGGAAGGCUGGGAGAAAAAGAAGACUAUUAUCCUGAAGGGUUGGAACAGAGAGGUACUGGGGAAGACUGGAAGACUGGGCAUUGGGGAAGACUGAGGGGUUGGAAUACUGGGGAAGGGAGAAGAAUGGGAUGGAUGAGACCAACACUGGGGGCUUAAGAAGUGUCCAGUGGAAGACUAGAGGAUUAGGGAAGCCUGAGAGAACUCAUUGUUGAGUGCUACUGCCUCCGGACCACAGGCUAAGCAAGCCUGAGUCAUAUUCCCCACAAUAGUAGUGGGACAGGGGCCCAGGUGCUACAUGAGUUAAUUUGUUACGUUUCCAGUCUGCUGCAGACUAUGAGUUCCCUGAGGAUCGGGUCUGCGUCUUCUGUGCCUCUCCCAUAGCUUGGACUAACUCAGGACUGAGCACACAGGGAGUAAUAUUCUUAAACCUCUAUUCCCAUUUCCUUUCCCAUCCCCAUCCCCUUCUUCUCUUCUCCACCCAAGAGAAAGAGCCAGAAAUUGGUAAAUCCAGAACCCACAUCUGUCUCUAACACAUUUGGGCCGCUUCUCCCCGCCCCUCCCCUUCUCUUCUUGCUCUUCACAUCCGACCAGGCUGCCUGGCAGGUGCGGCGGCCCCAGAAAUCUCUGCCUUAAGGGGAUUAAAAUCGAGUCUGACUAAACCAGGGCGGGGGCCGGAAGGACGGGCUGGCCCCCAGUUGUACGUCACUUUAGCUCCUGAUUACAGGCUGCUGGGCUGGUGAGGGUGGGGACCCUGUCACAACCACAGCCAGCGCCACCGUGGCGCCGGGGGCUGGGGUUGGCGAGUGUAUGAAGAAAACUGGAAACACAUGAAAGUGGGGAGCAGAGGGGAUGAUGUAUUCAGCUAAACAGCAGCCGCGACCCCGGAAUUUUAAUUCAUCUGGGUUAGAGUACCAGAACUGUUUAAUCCCGCUUGGGUCCCGCCUCCGGUAGAAGGGGGAGGGAAAGGGAGGAGAGAGGAGGAGGGAAAAUGGGAAUGUGAAAUGGGACAGCGAAGGUCUCUCUGACCGUGGAGGAAAGAUGUUGGCCUUGUUGCUGGAACAUCCCGCCUUCGGGAAUCCUGAACAUACACGGCAUUGGAGUGGUCUCACACAACGGUUCUCUCUUCGAAGAUACUAAGCAUUAAGAAUCAUCGAACUGCGAUGCAGUCAUUCUAUUCUUGAGCAUGUCAUUCCAGCUCAAGAAGCUUCACUAACUCCCUGUUACUCCCUAUUGACCAGGAUAACAUAUAAACGUCACUGUCUGA